rnacentral:rRNA from 1 species
UACAGAGGGUGCGAGCGUUAAUCGGAAUUACUGGGCGUAAAGGGCGCGUAGGUGGUUUAUUAAGAUUGAUGUGAAAUCCCUGGGCUUAACCUAGGAACGGCAUCGAAGACUGAUAGACUGGAGUAGUGUAGAGGGCAGUGGAAUUUCCGGUGUAGCGGUGAAAUGCGUAGAGAUCGGAAGGAACACCGGUGGCGAAGGCGGCUGCCUGGACAACUACUGACACUGAGGCGCGAGAGCGUGGGGAGCAAACAGG